GACGAACGCUGGCGGCGUGCCUAAUACAUGCAAGUAGAACGCUGAAGAGAGGAGCUUACUCUUCUUGGAUGAGUUGCGAACGGGUGAGUAACGCGUAGGUAACCUACCUUUUAGCGUGGGAUAACUACUGGAAACGAUAGCUAAUACCGCAUAACAUUUUAUGCCACAUGUCUUUUAUUUGAAAGGGGCUAUUGCUCUACUACAUGAUGGACCUGCGUUGUAUUAGGUAGUAGGUUAGGUAAUGGCUCACCCAAGCGAAGGUACAUAGCCGGACUGGGGGGGGGGUCGGCCAAAAUGGGACCGAGACACGGGCCAGAAUCCUAAGGGGAGGAGCAGGAAGGGAAUUUCGGGAAUGGGGCGAACGCUGACCGAGCAAAGGCGGGUGAGUGGAGGAGGGUUUCGGAACGUAAAACUCUGUUGAAAGGGGAAGACGAGUGGGGGAGUGAAAAGUGCACACUGUGACGGUAGCUAAUCAGAAAGGGACGGCUAACUACGUG
rnacentral:rRNA from 1 species